GGUGCUAUAGUGUAGUGGUUAUCACUCGGGAUUUUGAUUUGCAGCUCAAUUUCCCGAAACCCAGGUUCGAACCCUGGUAGCACCU